CCAGACUCCUACGGGAGGCAGCAGUGAGGAAUAUUGGUCAAUGGGAGAGAUCCUGAACCAGCCAAGCCGCGUGAGGGGAGACGGCCCUAUGGGUUGUAAACCUCUUUUGUCGGAGAACAAAACCCGGGACGUGUCCCGGACUGCGUGUAUCCGAAGAAAAAGCAUCGGCUAACUCCGUGCCAGCAGCCGCGGUAAUACGUAGGGGGCAAGCGUUAUCCGGAUUUACUGGGUGUAAAGGGAGCGUAGACGGCAAUACAAGUCGGAAGUGAAAUACCCGGGCUUAACCUGGGAACUGCUUUGGAAACUGUAUGGCUGGAGUGCUGGAGAGGUAAGCGGAAUUCCUAGUGUAGCGGUGAAAUGCGUAGAUAUUAGGAGGAACACCAGUGGCGAAGGCGGCUUACUGGACAGUAACUGACGUUGAGGCUCGAAAGCGUGGGGAGCAAACAGGAUUAGAUACCCGCGUAAG
rnacentral:rRNA from 1 species